rnacentral:rRNA from 1 species
AACGAACGCUGGCGGCGUGUUUAAGACAUGCAAGUCGCACGGUGUCAUUUUGGUAGCAAUACUUGGAUGGCACAGUGGCGCACGGGUGAGUAACACGUGAAUGACAUGCCCUUCAGAGGGGGAUAGCCCAGGGAAACUUGGAUUAAUACCCCAUGGUCUCGCAAGAGUAAAGGUGGCCGCAAGGCUGUCGCUGGAGGAUUGGUUCGCGUUCUAUCAGCUUGUUGGCGGGGUAACGGCCCACCAAGGGUAUGACGGAUACCUGGUCUGAGAGGACGAUCAGGCACACUGGAACUGAGACACGGUCCAGACACCUACGGGUGGCAGCAGUCGAGAAUAAUUCACAAUGGGGGCAACCCUGAUGGUGCAACGCCGCGUGGAGGAUGAAGGUCUUCGGAUUGUAAACUCCUGUCAUCCGGGAGCAAGACCUGACGGUGAAUAGCCGGCAGGGUUGAUAGUACCGGAAGAGGAAGGGACGGCUAACUUCGUGCCAGCAGCCGCCGUAAGAC